GCUACAAUGGCGUAUACAAAGUGUUGCAAGCCAGCGAUGGUGANCCAAUCACAAAAAGUACGUCUCAGUUCGGAUUGCAGNCUNCAACUCGCCUGCAUGAAGUUGGAAUCGCUAGUAAUCGCGCAUCAGCAAUGGCGCGGUGAAUACGUUCCCGGACCUUGUACACACCGCCCGUCAAGCGAUGGAAGUUGGGAGGACCUGAUGACAGGUNCUGUAAGGCGCUGUUUAGGGUUAAACCGAUGACUGGCGCUAAGUCGUAACAAGGUAACC
rnacentral:rRNA from 1 species